CAGCCGCCGGCGGUAAUACGUAGGGUGCGAGCGUUAAUCGGAAUUACUGGGCGUAAAGCGUGCGCAGGCGGUUAUAUAAGACAGAUGUGAAAUCCCCGGGCUCAACCUGGGACCUGCAUUUGUGACUGUAUAGCUAGAGUGCGGUAGAGGGGGAUGGAAUUCCGCGUGUAGCAGUGAAAUGCGUAGAUAUGCGGAGGAACACCGAUGGCGAAGGCAAUCCCCUGGACCUGUACUGACGCUCAUGCACGAAAGCGUGGGGAGCAAACAGGAUUAGAUACCCGCGUAGUCCCUGUCUCUUAUA
rnacentral:rRNA from 1 species